UACGUAGGGGGCUAGCGUUGUCCGGAAUCAUUGGGCGUAAAGAGCGUGUAGGCGGCCCGGUAAGUCCGCUGUGAAAGUCCAGGGCUCAACCCUGGGAUGCGGGUGGAUACUGUCGGGCUCGAGUCCGGAAGAGGCGGAGUGGAAUUCCCGGUGUAGCGGUGAAAUGCGCAGAUAUCGGGGAGGAACACCUGUGGCGAAAGCGGCGCACUGGACCACAACUGACGCUGAGGCGCGAAAGCUAGGGGAGCAAACAGG
rnacentral:rRNA from 1 species